UCAACACUAAACUUGAUAACAAUAUCAGCUUGUCUAGUCCCGCAAAGCACGCCCACGUUUCAGGCCACACUCGGGGAAAGAUAAAGUUAUACGUUCAACGCUAGAUAAAAAUCUACAGGACAAAAAAGCUACAGUGACACGACAAAGAGCCGCCACACAAAUCCACAGCUCUGCAAACGGACUGUGAGGAUUGUUAUUUGUGUGUGUGCGUGUGUGUUGAAGUGUGUGUCCCCGACAGUUUUCCUGCAGGGUGCCGGUGACCUGGGGCCAGGAGGCAGAACUCCGCAUCGGGCCGAGCCCAGAGGAAGAUAAACAGGCUGCAUGGCUAUUGUUCUCCUGGUAUCACCGCUGCCUUGUCAGCCGGACUGAUGGAAGGCUGGAGCUCCCAAAAUAGUCGGGCCUGACUUCUUUCCUUUAUAUCCUUGUUACUAACGCUGCCCCCCCCCUCCCCUCUCCCUUCCCCCCCUUUCUUUCCGUGUGUUCCAGAGCGGGGGCACAAAGUGACCCAGAUUGCACGCAAAGAAGCUGCAAACAGCAACAGAAGGUUGUGGUUAAGAUGACUGAUGGUUGUUCGAAGCUAAAGACCCUCAGAUGAACUUUCGGGGAGUAAGAGGAGGAGACGUCGCCGGCCUCUUGUGUGUUUCCAGGAUUCCAGCCUCCGGAGAGUAACCUGAUGCCACCGAAGGACAGCAAGGCGCACGCGUGCAGUUGAACUUCAAUGAACUUUUUACCUCCGUGUAAAAGCCUCAGCUGGUUUCCUCCUCAGUCCCGCAGACGUCUUCCUGUACGCA